AGACUGAGAUCCGGGGGUUUAUGGUAGAUAUUGUGAAUUAACAUGUCAAUAUCCAGGAUUUGGAAAGCAGUGUCAAAUGAAAUGUGAAUGUGAAGAACAGAACUGUAACCCGAUUAAGGGAUGCAUAUUAGAUUCGUCAUCACCUGCUGCAGGUCCGUUAGCGAAAACAACUACAGAUUAUCCACUGAAUGAAGUGAAUGAAAAUUUUAAUACACUAACUGCAGAGAUUAAAUCUUGCAUUAGAACAGAGAAUGACCCCCCUAUAAAGAGAAACACAGCAACAUUGCAAUACGCCAUCAUUGGACUCGGAUGUGUCUGUUGUGUAUUUCUGAUCUUCUACAUAGGACUGCGUAUUGUUUUGUACAGAUACAAACCGAAAGUAUGGAACAGACAAGCACAUGAAAUGCAAAUGGAUGUUUAAACUGGAAGGGAAAAAUUCUUUAUGAACUUAUGGACGGAAAUUCAAAUACGGAAAUUAUUUCAAAUUCGUCAUCACCUGCUGCAGGUCCGUUAGCGAAAACAACUACAGCUUAUCCACUGAAUGCAGUGAAUGAAAAUUUUAGUAAGAUUUGGUCAAUGAUAACUGUGAGUAGUUUUCUCCGUUUAGAUACACUAGCUGCAGAGAUUAACUCUUGUAGUAGAAUAGAAAAUAGAAAAUGCCCCCUCCCCCCCUCUGUAAAGAGAAACACAGCAACUUUGCAUUAUGCCAUCAUUGGACUCAGAUUUGUCUGUUGUGUAUUUCUGAUCUUCUACAUAGGACUGCGUAUUGUUUUGUACAGAUAAAAUCCAAAAGUAUGGAACAGACAAGGACAUGAAAGGCAAAUGCCUGUUUAAACUGGAAGGGGAAAAUUCUUUAGGAAUUUAUGGACGGAAAUUCAAAUACGGAGAUUAUUUUAAGUACAUAAAUAUAUUCACGAUAUACAUGUAGGAUGCAUUUCUGCCAUGUUUCGGAAAACGAAAAUCAUUAUAUCGAACGCUACAUGGACUUUGUAAACACAUGUUUUCUGAAUUAGAAUUAAUAUUACUGUUUUUCAUAUCAGUACUUAUUUGUUAAGUGUACGUACCAUGACGCAACUGAAGUGAGAUAUCCAAUUAAGCCCACUCAACAAGUCAGAUAAUAUGAUCUUAAACUUAAAUACAAACAACGUAAGUAAACUAAAAUCAUAUAUUAGAAAACGAACUCCAACACCAUCAAGUACAAUCGAUGUUAGACUUAUUUAAAAUUAAUCUUUAUUAUAUUCUAUGAUGUUAAUUGAUUGAUUUUUUUUACAACGCUUCGACAAUUUUUCACUCAUAUUGAGACGUUACCAGUUGUAGAUGAAAUACAACAAAUAUAGACCUAUGCUUAGCGCUCAGGACCGCACCAGUGAGCAUUCUUUAUCGUGCCAACCCCUUACCACUACACGAUAUCUCCGUUUGUUAAGGUCAUAUUCGAAAGACGAGGCCAAGGCACAGAAAAAUCCAUGAUUCUCACUUCUAAAUGUCGAAUCCCGUGGGGAUCCGGGUUACAAUAGGUACUCAGUACCCCUUUGCUUGUCGUAAGAGGCGACUAAAUGGGGCGGACCUUCGAAUGAGACCGCAAAAACCGAGGUCCCGUGUCACAGCAGGUGUGGCACGAUAAAGAUUCCGCCCUGCUCAGUGGCCAUAAGCGCCGAGCAUAGGCCUAAAUUUUGCAGCCCUUCACCGGCAGUGGUGACGUCUCCAUAUGAGUGAAAUAUUCUUGAGAGGGACGUUAAACAAUAUUCAAUCAAUCAAUCACUCUAAAUGUCGAACGUUCGGAGAAGGAAUAAUCAUUGUCGAUGUUUACGUGUUAGUUUUGACGUGGCCAUGGCAUGAACGGGACUCCAACUCAGAACCACACUGAAGUACCGCGACCGGUCUUAUCAUGUCAAUAAAAUAUUUUUUCUAAGAUGACCUUGGAUAAGACCCAUUCACUUACAUCGAAAAUUGACAUCCGCGUCCCCAUCGGAAAGCCAAAUAGGUGGAAUGUAAUUCAAUAAUGGUACAGGUUGACGCCAGAUUCUAUUGAGCUGCAUUGUGUAUUCUGUUAUGAGUCAGAAAAACCCUUAAUAUAGUGCAAUAGAAUUUACUAACAAAAGGCAAUUAAACAAUUGAUAAUAUUUAUUUACAAUUGAUAAUUGAUAAGAAAUUGUAACAAUAACAAAAUACUAACUUAGGGCAGGUGAACAAUAAAUCCAAACACGCAAGAAUACUAAUCGUAGUUCCCAGUGAAAUAAAAUCCAAAAUGCAUAUAAAUUGUCUAAUCAGAGCCAUUUGUAUCAUAAGAAUUUCAGUGUAUAUAUAAUAGGAAGGAAUAUCCUAGUACAAUCUUAAAAGACAAUGAUGCAACCAUUACUUAAUACUAAAAAUAACAAGAUAAUCUAGAAUAAUCUACGUCACAGGUGUCAAUGAAAUAAACAUGACUUUCUAGAACUAUGCAAGGUGAAGAUAACGAACAGUGAUCAAUAUCACAACUCCUACAAGUAAUACAAAAUAGAUAGUUGGGCAAACACGGACACCUGGACACACCAGAGGUGGGAUCGGGUGUCUAGGAGGAGUAAGCAUCCCCUGGUGACCGGUCACACCCGCCGUGAGCCCUAUAUCCUGAUCAGGUAAACGGAAUUAUCCGCAGUCAAAAUCAGUGUGCCAAGAACGGCUUAACAAUCGGUAUGAAAAACGUCAGACAGCAUUUGACCCAAUGCGAGGUUGUAUUGACGAACUAGAUCGUUAUAACGACCAUAGAAUUUGCGAACUUCAAUCGAGACUGUUGAAACCCCUGUCCAUCAACUUGUUUGUCAGUAAUUUACCUCGAUUUGAAAACUGACUAUACGCAGAACAAGUUCUUGCAUAUAUAAUCAGUUGAGAUAUAUAAACAUAAUAUGCAGGUGAUACUGGAAUAUUGCUAUAUAAAUAUGGGAAGUUGACGAUGGAGAAGCUGAAAUCAUCCCGUUUGUCAUACAGUUGAGUUGUCAUAUUAAUAAAGUGCAAAUAGUAAUACAUGAUGUAUACACAACAUGUCACAUACUGCAUAACGUCACUGAUGAAGAAUCCUUGAAAUUUCUUAUUUGAAUAUGGACAUGAUGAUUAUGUACAUAUGGAUACCUACAUUUCCAAAUUGUAUAGAGCAGUUUUGAUACAUUCCUAAAAAAAAUAAGUUUUAGAGGCUAUUUGUACGUAUGUUUUAUAAAGAUGAAAUAGUAGUAGGUCAUAAUGAAUACGAUUGGUGAGUAAACAUAAUAACCAAUUCUGAAAGUAAAAAGAAUUAUACAAUUAAGAUAUGUUUGAGUAACUAAAGAGUUAUGUUAUAAAAGGAAAUGUUUUAAAUUAUCGUUACAAGACAAUAAAUAUUGGAUUGAAUUCUAGAAUCUAAACCUUGAGAACCAGAGACAUCCAGAGAGAGAGAGAGAGAGAGAGAGAGAGAGAGAGAGAGAGAGAUUGUGAAGUAUUAUAAUAUUAUAAUGCAAGGAUUCUGUGCAAUAAUAAUAAUUGGUCGAAAGACUGAUGCGAACAAACCCCUUUUAAAACGUGUUUUGCUUUCUGUUCUAAGUUUUGAUUCAAAUGUGAAAAUGAUAAAACAUUUAUUCCUUUUCAACAAAUACACUAACGUGGUGGAAGUAUGGAAUCCAAUGGUACGUAUAAUUGAGAAUCAUUCAAAUGUUCUUUAGUAUUCACCAUGAUGUUUGAAGAUUUUGAAGCAAUUAAUUAUGGUGUCAUUAUGUCCUGCCUCGGCUGAAAACCUAUGAACGGUAAGUUAAGAUAUGCAACAGUGCUCGCACGCGCGUGUGUGUGUGUCAUUGAGAGUUGAAUUACGUAGUUAUUGCAAAUAUAAAUGUAUUUUAUGUCUAUAAUGCUUUCUAUUUAUUUCGGAAGAUAUUUAACAAUGUAUAAUGCCAAUAUGUUGAUAUUUCACAUGUUCAUUUUUCAGUCUUCUAUGUAAUUCCUUCUACCUGCCAUUUUACUAGUCUUCUCGAACGUUAAUUGUUUUCUGCAAUACCAUUGGCCAAGAGAAUUUAUGCUGGCUUAUCAGAUUUUAUUGAUUUGCCAGUCCUAUAUCAAGCGUGGUAUGAGGGAGCUAAAUAAAUCUCAAAUUUUAAAACUCAUGACCAAUCACAAACGAUUUAAUUUUACAUUUCAAGGUAUGAUUAUUUUAUCAUUUUCUUUUUCUAAAAAUAAAUUUAGACGACUUCUAUAAGCAUGCAUUGAGUCUACUAACAUUUAUUGUUUAUAGCUACGUUUUACAAUUCUUCAAAUACACAUGUAAAUAAUCAGUAUUUAUAAGAUAAAUCAACUUCAAUUGGAAUGGAAAGCUUGAUUGUCGAUUCUGGUAAGGUAAUUGAGCCUAUAAUUUAUAGUAUUUGCAAACGAACUUAAAUAUCAAUGGGCGAAAGGUCAUGUUUCAGCUUUCUUAAGAUAGUUUUCAGAGAAUACUGGACCUUCCACGUAAUAAAUAUUGUAACAAGUGGAACCUUAUUGUGAUGCUUCAUCUUCACUACAUCAGGAUUAGAAUAGCAUUGUUAGUUAGUAGAAUUUUAGAUUUUGAAGAAAACAUAUUCACUAAAAUGUGACCUGUUAAGACCAUGUCUCGGGAAGUAUUGCUCUACUUUUCAUUGAAAAUUUUACCGUACUAGGAAUGGAAUUGCAAAAAGUUUCAUUUUUAAACAUAUCUAUCAGAUAUACAUUUAACAUGAUUUUCUGUUUCAUAUAUGAAGUUUAUUCUAUUUCCUAUCUCUUUACUUGAUUUCUUUGAUGUCGCAAUUAUGAAAUGAGUAAGUAAGUUAAUUUAUGUUGUCAUGUGCACGUAUUGCUAUCCGCAUGUCAUGUGUGUCAAAACGUUCAGUGUAAUAUGUGACAGUCGCUUUAUAUGUGUUGUACACCAUGAAAAAUACCAUUGCAUUCGUUUGGAAGUAGAGAACUGGACCACUUAGUAGGGCAUUCUUCAGAAUGGAAAAAUAAUUUAACAUACAACUUAUAUUUUCUGUCUUUUUUAAUAUAUUUGGAGUGACAUAAAAACAAUUUAUUGACAAUCGAUUGGUAUUUGAAAAUUUGAAAAAAGGACAAUUUCAGAACAGGUCGGGUGAAAAUAGAGGAAAUAGUCAUGCUUCGAUACACUAUCAUACAAAAAAAUAAGAAAACAUACAAAUAUGAAGCAGUUAUGGAAGACUUUGUGGUGUAUUUCUUUUCCAAUUCGCGGAGAUAUAUCGACUUAACAUAUGAAUGAAAAUGCACAUUGUUGAUAGAUAAAAGGUUAUCCAUAGUUGAAGCUCACAGGAAGAUAUUUCUUGUCAUUUAUAAGCUUUUGAAUGAGUUCUGCAUUGUAGAAAUAUCAAUACAGUUCAACUGAUAAAUCAACACAAGUAAUGCCUGUGGGUGUUUCCAAAGACCAAUGGAAGACCUAAUCUCCAAACCCAGAGAGUGGUAAUUGGGUACCAGCAAUCUGAAAACAGGAUAUCUAUACUUAUUGAAAGGACCUACAUGCUGUAGUGGUUUUGCUGGAUAUGUUUGGAACCAGACAGUUCACAACUGUACAAGCUGUAUGUCCG